UGUAUACGAUUGCAAAGCAGUCUUGUGUUAGGAGGCCGCUGAUUUGAAGACCUGCAUGUUUCCAAGACCAUGGACCGACUCUACACAAAUGACAAUGACAACGUUCAAUAUGCAUCCUCGUGUGACUCGUGCAGAGGGCCCUCAGGAAGACUGCUCUGAUCGCGCUGAGUAAUCCCAAGGUCUACAGUGGGUGGUGCCUGAUGUCCAUCGAGUUCAUCUUUGUCGAAGCUGUUGGCGACACGCACAGAGGCCACGGAUGAUGAAACAAAGACCGCAAUGGCUUUAAAAUUAAAACGGGCUCCAGCGCUGAGUAGCAAAACCCCACAAGAGAG